rnacentral:rRNA from 1 species
UCAUCAGUGAGGGCAUGGGUGCUAAGGUCCAUGUCCGAGAGGGAAAGAACCCAGACCAUCAGCUAAGGUCCCCAAAUGUAUGCUAAGUUGAAAAAACGCGGUUUGAUUGCCCAGACAGCUAGGAUGUUGGCUUGGAAGCAGCCAUUCAUUUAAAGAGUGCGUAACAGCUCACUAGUCGAGCGAUCGAGCAUGGAUAAUAAUCGGGCAUAAGUAUACUACCGAAGCUAUGGAUUUGCGCAUUUAGUUGCGUGAGUGGUAGGGGAGCAUUCUAACGGCGCAGAAGGUGAUUUGUGAGAAUUGCUGGAGCUUUUAGAAAAGAAAAUGUAGGCAUAAGUAACGAUAAGGGGUGCGAGAAACACCCCCGCCGUAAGACUAAGGUUUCCUCAGCUAUGCUAAUCAGCUGAGGGUUAGUCGGGACCUAAGGCACACCCGAAGGGGGACGUCGAUGGCCAACGGGUUAAUAUUCCCGUACUACUGAUAAUUGUGAUGGAGUGACACAGUGAUGAAAGCACCGCGAACUGACGGAAUAGUUCGUUGAAGCACGUACCUAUAGGUUUGAUAGUAAAAUGCGUCGGACUUGGAGAAAUGCGAUAGUACUUUGAGUCUUCGGACAACGAGAUAGUGUGCCUAAGGGCUGUCAAGAAAAGCUUCUAAACUUAGAUUAUUAGUACCCGUACCGUAAACCGACACAGGUAGUCGAGGAGAGUAUCCUAAGGCGCUCGAGAGAUUCAUGGCUAAGGAACUAGGCAAAAUAGACCUGUAACUUCGGGAGAAAGGUCGCCAGCGCAAGCUGGCCGCAGUGAAAAGGUCCAGGCGACUGUUUAUCAAAAACACAGGGCUCUGCAAAAUCGUAAGAUGACGUAUAGGGCCUGACACCUGCCCGGUGCUGGAAGGUUAAGAGGAGAUGUUAUCGAUGAGUAAUUGUUGAGAAGCAUUGAAUUGAAGCCCCAGUAAACGGCGGCCGUAACUAUAACGGUCCUAAGGUAGCGAAAUUCCUUGUCGGGUAAGUUCCGACCUGCACGAAUGGUGUAACGAUCUGGACACUGUCUCAGCCAUGAGCUCGGUGAAAUUGUAGUAUCGGUGAAGAUGCCGAUUACCCGCAGUGGGACGAAAAGACCCUGUGCACCUUUACUAUAGCUUAGUAUUGUUCUUGGAUAAGUGAUGUGUAGGAUAGGUGGGAGACUGUGAAAUGGCGUCGCUAGGCGUUGUGGAGUCAUUGUUGAAAUACCACCCUUUGCUUAUUUGAGAUCUAACUCCUUGUGUAAGGAGGACAUUGCUUGGUGGGUAGUUUGACUGGGGUGGUCGCCUCCAAAAGAGUAACGGAGGCUUCUAAAGGUUCCCUCAGCACGCUUGGUAACCGUGCGUAGAGUGCAAUGGUAUAAGGGAGCUUGACUGAAAGACUAACAAGUCGAACAGGUACGAAAGUAGAGCAUAGUGAUCCGGUGGUUCCGCAUGGAAGGGCCAUCGCUCAAAGGAUAAAAGGUACGCCGGGGAUAACAGGCUGAUCUCCCCCAAGAGCUCAUAUCGACGGGGGGGUUUGGCACCUCGAUGUCGGCUCGUCACAUCCUGGGGCUGGAGAAGGUCCCAAGGGUUGGGCUGUUCGCCCAUUAAAGUGGCACGCGAGCUGGGUUCAGAACGUCGUGAGACAGUUCGGUCUCUAUCUACUGUGGGCGUUAGAAAUUUGAGUGGAUCUGAUUCUAGUACGAGAGGACCGAAUUGGACCAACCUCUAGUGCAUCUGUUGUCUCGCCAGGGGCAUCGCAGAGUAGCUACGUUGGGAAGGGAUAAGCGCUGAAAGCAUAUAAGUGCGAAACCCACCACAAGAUGAGAUUUCUUUAAAGGGUCGUUGGAGAUUACAACGUUGAUAGGCUAUAGAUGUAAAGACAGUAAUGUCAAAGUCGAGUAGUACUAAUAACCCGUAAGCUUAUGUGA